AGGACAGCUAAAGCUGUUCUCUCCCGAUCUCUACUCCAGGGCAUUUGCUUGGCUUUCUGAGUGAGCAGAGUUAAGAGCUCCAGAUGCUGCUCCUGGGGUGAACACAGUGACUUUAAUCUCCUGGGAGGCUCAGCUCCAAACACAGUAGUUACUUCAGAGGGCACUGAGAAGGAAGGCAGGUAUAUUUGCGUUAUGCCUGUGGAUCUGUUGCCAAGCACACCGUCUUGCCACUGACACAAGAGCCAGUUUUGCCUGGCAGCACAGACAUCAAAGCUCCCUCAUGGAAAAGCAGCCCCGAAUUUGGAAGAGGCAUUUUAUAAUUUCCAACCAUUUCAUUAUGGCAUUAAGGUGCAUUAAUUGCUUCACAGCCAUGUGGAUAUAGGCUUCCAGUUCCUCUUCAUUAUGGUUAUGAACAGCUGAACUCAGGCUCUGAAGUGCUAUUUUCCCAGUGUUCUCAGGAACAUGAAGACUUUUCAGUGAUCAUGGACAGACGGAUGAAUUGUCGUGGAGCUGCAGGGAGCCAGAAACGACGUGUGCUCUGACUAGAAUCGAAGCAUUUCUUUUUGAACCAAUGGCAGGUCACUUCCGUAGUAAACACAUCGACUGAUGCUAUGUCCCAAAAGAAGUGGCAAAACAAAAUUACUUGACAACUUCAAGUUUUUCAUUUAAUGACUAUCUAUUGUAAACCAGAAAGAAACUUAAACAUUAUAUCCAUAUUAAUAAAGGCAUGUAUUGG